CCAAUCUAGAGUNUCGGAGAGGAAAGUGGAAUUCCUAGUGUAGCGGUGAAAUGCGUAGAUAUUAGGAAGAACACCAGUGGCGAAGGCGACUUUCUGGACGAAAACUGACGCUGAGGCGCGAAAGCCAGGGGAGCGAACGGGAUUAGAUACCCCGGUAGUCCUGGUCGUAAACGAUGGGUACUAGGUGUAGGAGGUAUCGACCCCUUCUGUGCCGGAGUUAACGCAAUAAGUACCCCGCCUGGGGAGUACGACCGCAAGGUUGAAACUCAAAGGAAUUGACGGGGGCCCGCACAAGCGGUGGAGUAUGUGGUUUAAUUCGACGCAACGCGAAGAACCUUACCAGGUCUUGACAUUGAUGGACAGAACCAGAGAUGGUUCCUCUUCUUCGGAAGCCAGAAAACAGGUGGUGCACGGUUGUCGUCAGCUCGUGUCGUGAGAUGUUGGGUUAAGUCCCGCAACGAGCGCAACCCCUAUCUUAUGUUGCCAGCACGUAAUGGUGGGAACUCAUGAGAGACUGCCGCAGACAAUGCGGAGGAAGGCGGGGAUGACGUCAAAUCAUCAUGCCCCUUAUGACCUGGGCUACACACGUACUACAAUGGGAGUUAAUAGACGGAAGCGAGAUCGCGAGAUGGAGCAAACCCGAGAAACACUCUCUCAGUUCGGAUCGUAGGCUGCAACUCGCCUACGUGAAGUCGGAAUCGCUAGUAAUCGCAGGUCAGCAUACUGCGGUGAAUACGUUCCCGGGCCUUGUACACACCGCCCGUCACACCACGAAAGUCGGAAGUGCCCAAAGCCGGUGGGGUAACCUUCGGGAGCCAGCCG
rnacentral:rRNA from 1 species